GUGCUUUUUCCUCCCAGAAACCAGUAAAGACAGCUCUGGCACCAAGCCGGCCAGCAAGCGGCCCAUGUCCUCUCCGGAAAUGAAAUCCGCUCCAAAGAAGUCGAAGGCAGACGGUCCGUGAGAGGCCGCCCGGCCCCGGAUUCCUCGCCGGCCCCUCCUGCUUCGGGAAUGCCACCCGCCAGGGCCUGCCCGUCACCCACCCAGCGCUCGCCUCACCCUCUCGAGCCCUGGCUGCUCUUCUCCCUCCCUCUCUCUCUCUCUGUUUUUAAAAUGAUCUCAAGAAAGCACAUUUUACCGUGGCCGUGGGAGACGGCGGAGGCGGGAAGAGCAGACGCCCUCGAGGGCGGGACCGAGAAACUCACAGGACGAAGGACACGCACAGGACACGGCAGGCGCCUCCGGAGCCUGCAGGCCUCUUGCUGUUCGUGACCCUUGGAUCCGGGGAGCGGCCAAGGCUCGAGGUGGGGGGGCCUGGAAGCCGAGGAUGGGCGCCCCCAGCACCCUCCCGCCUCUGCUGCGAGAGGCUUUUCGGGGCAGCCAGCACUGGGUGUCUCUCCGGUCCGGUAUCUUCCUCUGUUGGCUGAGGUCCCACCACCGAGCGGCCGCCCCUGCCCAGCAGUCCCCGGGAAGCUGACGCCUUUGCUCAAAGGCCUUCGUGCUCCCCCUUUUCCUCUGCCCUCUUCUUUCCCACUUAGAGAGAGAGAGAGAGAGAGAGAGAGAGAGAAGAAAAAGAAGGAGGUGGCAAAGGAGCCCCGCGGGGCCGAGCCGUGUUCUGUGAAAGCCCCCGGCCCCCCGGCGCUGAGCCGCCCGCACCCAGCCUGGCCUCGGCCGCAUCACCAACUGCUGCAUUUGUUGUAUUUUUUUAAGUUGAAAUUGAUGAAGUUAACAUUUUUAUUGUAAUUUUAGCCUUAGCGUGUGGGGUUUUGUCCCUUUUUUUGUUGUUGUCGUUAGCUGUGUACAGAAUGUGUAUCUUUUUUUUUCCAUUUUUUUUCUCCUUGGCUAAGCCUUGGCAGGGAUCUUUCUGGAGGAGAAGCUGGUGGCAGCCAGGCCAGGAGAGGCACGGAACCUCCCCUGUGGCUCUGGUGUGUGCCACCCAGCCGCUUUGUUCUGGUGGGCCCUGCCCUCUGCCCCUUUGCCUGGGUCAUAGUGCACUCCCUGGCUCCUAUGACCGGCUUAGAGCAUGUGACACCCAUGGCUGCGGCUUCCUGCAGCCACCCCCUCACGGCAAAGCUGGUGGGGACGGAGGGGCCUCGGCCUCAGAGGCGGCCUGGGAGGGCCGGUGGUGUGAUGCCACCCAUUCUAUGAAUUUGCAGUGCAGUCCCCAAGCUGGGGCCAGACUUGGGGGGGGCUUGGGGCUCUGCUUGGAGUGGCUAGUGAGGCAGCUUUCUGCCCCAAGCCCAAGCUUUGGGCAAGGAGCCAGGCUUGCGAGCAGGUCGCACAGAAGAAAGAAUUUAAAACGAGCAGCCGGUAUUUUCAAAGCCCGUUUCUCUGCCCUGGAGAUGCAGCUGUGGCUGGAGGGACCCCAGCCUCUUCAAGCCCCCGCCCCAGCCCACGCCCUCUGGGGCCUCUGGUUGGUUGUAUUAUAG
rnacentral:lncRNA from 9 species